AUAUCAGUCAUGCAUAGCAUAUCAAUAAGCGGAGGAAAAGAAACUAACAAGGAUUCCCUAGUAACGGCGAGUGAAGCGGGAAGAGCUCAAAUUUGAAAUCGUCAAGGUUCUACCUUGACGAAUUGUAGUUUAUAGAAGUGUUUUCUGUUAGUAGGAGUGGCAAAAGUUCUUUGGAAUAGGACAUCAUAGAGGGUGAGAAUCCCGUAUUUGGUCAUUCCUUCUAGCGUUGUGAUACACUUUCAACGAGUCGGAUUGUUUGGGAAUGCAGUCCAAAAUGGGUGGUAAAUUUCAUCUAAAGCUAAAUAUUGGCGAGAGACCGAUAGCGAACAAGUACCGUGAGGGAAAGAUGAAAAGAACUUUGAAAAGAGAGUUAAACAGUACGUGAAAUUGUCAAAAGGGAAGCGUUUGACACCAGUGUUGUUUUUCCGAAAAUCAAUUACGAAUGUUUUAUUUUUGAGGAGUUAUGACUUCAUCGGCUUGCUCCUUUCUUUACUGAAACUUUCUUAAUGCACUUUUCGGUUAACAAGUCAACAUCAAUUUCUUUUGUUGUAAAAGGGUAUGAGGAAGGUGGCUUUCUUUUCGGAGAAAGUGUUUAUAGCCUUGUGCCUCUGCAAUCGGAGAGAUUGAGGUCUGCAGCGUAGAUCCUUCGGGGUUAGAUACGUUUGUGCUAAGUUAUAGCUUUUCAUAGACAACUUGUUGACUAUGUUUAGUCUUGUAGCUUACUCGCUUAUGCUAUUUUACCUACGCUUAGGAUGUUGAUCUCUCACAGUCGAGC
rnacentral:rRNA from 1 species